CCUACGGGAGGCAGCAGUGAGGAAUAUUGGUCAAUGGACGCAAGCCUGAACCAGCCAAGUAGCGUGAAGGAUGACUGCCCUACGGGUUGUAAACUUCUUUUAUACAGGAAUAAACUUAAGCACGUGUGCCUUUUUGUAUGUACUUUAUGAAUAAGGAUCGGCUAACUCCGUGCCAGCAGCCGCGGUAAUCCGGAGGAUCCGAGCGUUAUCCGGAUUUAUUGGGUUUAAAGGGAGCGUAGAUGGGUUGUUAAGUCAGUUGUGAAAGUUUGCGGCUCAACCGUAAAAUUGCAAUUGAUACUGGCAGCCUUGAGGACAGGUGCGGUAGGCGGAAUUCGUGGUGUAGCGGUGAAAUGCUUAGAUAUCACGAAGAACUCCGAUUGCGAAGGCAGCCUACUAAACUGCCACUGACAUUGAUGCUCGAAAGUGUGGGUAUCAAACAGGAUUAGAUACCCCAGUAGUC
rnacentral:rRNA from 1 species